AUGCAUUCCCCAUGAAUGAAGAAAAUAAGGUUGCAUCCCAGGAGCUCUACAAGAAUGUUAUAGAGUGAUGAAUGCAGCCAAAGAAAACAUGAAGAAAAGAAAAUGGAAAAUAACACAGGUCACACUGAACAGCAGAUUGUUGUCUCAAGCCAGUGCUGAUCAAUGACAGUUUAGCUGCAGUAUGUCAGAGAAGAGAGGAAAGAUGAGUCUCUCACAGAAACAGAGGUAAGACUGAGUCUGUUUUCAGAGAAUCAUUUUAAACACUGCUGCAGUUUCAGAGGUUUGCUGGAAAAAAACAAAUUCUUAGCAAACUUUGUUUUAUAUUUACAAAUGAUUUGCAGAACUUCAGAGCUUUCUAAUUAAAAAUAAUAUUUAUAUUUAAAAAAGUAAGCAAUACAUGAUAAAUAUCUGAACUGAAAAUCAGAAUUGUAUUUUUAUAAUCACUCUUCAGCACUGGAUAUGGACUUAAGUAAAUUAUUUCACAUCAGUGAUUUUGUUUUUAGGUCCUAAAUUAUUUUUUUCAGACAUUAAAAAUGACUCCACACUUCAUUUAAAGGGUAAUAUGAUGCUUUGAAUAUUUUCAUUUUCCUAAGUGUGUAAUGUAUCUGUUUGUGUAAGAUCUUCAAAGUUACAAAGGUCACAGUCUCCUGCAAAGUGAUUUUUUUUUUCUAUCUAACCGAUAACACUGAUCCAGAAAUGAUUAAAAGGCCUUGACUGGAG
ensembl:lncRNA